rnacentral:lncRNA from 1 species
GUUCUUAAGAAAUGUUGCUCAUUUUCCAUAUGAGAAUUCUGCCUCCUAUCACUAAAACAGGUGCAGGUAGGGGAGCUGAAGCAGGCAGUAACCCUGUUCCAGCAGCUCUCAGCCAGAUGCUCCACUCUAGGGCUAAUGUAGAAGGUGCUCUUAUUGCCACCUGGCAAUUCGUCACACUGGUGCACUCGCCAAUAAGCUGGCAUUAAGUCUGUUUUGCACUACUGGAGUUGCACAAAACAGAUUUAAGAGCUUGGACGGUCAAAACCUUCAACCUGUAACGCUGAGGGCCAGCGCGCAGAGAAGUCAGCAUGGGCAGGAUGCUGCUCCAGUAAUCUCUGCUCAGUAAAGGUUCAACGUAGGGAGAGGUUGCAGCGUUUAUGCUGCCUGAGCAUCAGCCUCAGCACUGUUUAGGAGAGGCAUCUCUGGCAAGGUGCCCCGUGGUGUAUUUUACGAUCAGUGUUGUAACGAUACACAGUCUUUG